rnacentral:rRNA from 1 species
AGAAGAAGCACCGGCUAACUACGUGCCAGCAGCCGCGGUAAUACGUAGGGUGCAAGCGUUAAUCGGAAUUACUGGGCGUAAAGGGUGCGCAGGCGGUUCUGUAAGUCAGAUGUGAAAUCCCCGGGCUUAACCUGGGGAACUGCGUUUGAAACUGCAGAGCUAGAGUGCGGCAGAGGGAGGUGGAAUUCCAUGUGUAGCAGUGAAAUGCGUAGAGAUAUGGAAGAACAUCGAUGGCGAAGGCAACCUCCUGGGCUAGCACUGACGCUCAUGCACGAAAGCGUGGGGAGCAAACAGGAUUAGAUACCCUGGUAGUCCACGCCCUAAACUACUGUCGAACUAGUUGUCGGGCCUUAAUAGGCUUGGUAACGUAGCUAACGCGUGAAGUUGACCGCCUGGGGAGUACGGUCGCAAGAUUAAAACUCAAAGGAAUUGACGGGG